CUCAUACACUAAUCCUCGAAAUUAAAGCAGUCCCAUAAUAUCUUGGGUGAACUUUCUCAUCACAAACAAAACAUCAAACUUAAUCACGAAUCAACCAAAAUUAGGCACUUAUAUCCACUAUUUAAGCCUAAUAGAUCACUUCCUAACAACUAAUACCAUUAAUCAAGAAAUCAUCAUAGUCACCUUCACGAUCACCAAUCAUUCAAACAUAACUUUUAGCACACAAUAUAACUUAAAACUUUUUGCAUGAAAUUUCCACUUAGAAACUAUAAAACAAUCUUCAACAAGUUCUAUCCCAUUUAAACUUCAUAAUAAUAAUAAUUGGUCAUAAUUAUAUAGCUUAUCUCAUUCACAAUCCAUUAACACAUCCUUCUUUAACCCGUCACUACUAUCUAUCCUUCAUACACAACUUAACUUAGUUCAUAGCUCUCUACGUCUUAACUUAACUUCUUCUCUCAACCCGGCAAUGGCAUAAUUUAACAACACUCACCCACUGAGUACUUCCAUUACUAACCUAUACUCUCUGGCAUACAAAUACCGUCAAUACCCAUUUCAUACCUCGAACAAACUAC
rnacentral:lncRNA from 1 species